rnacentral:rRNA from 1 species
CCCUUAGAUGUUCUGGGCUGCACGCGUGCUACACUGAUUAUUUCAACAAGUGUUUUAACUGGAGAGUUCGCGUAAUCCUGAAAUGUUAUCGCGAUGGGAGUAGAGUAUUGUAUUUGUUAAUCUUUAACGAGGAAUUCCUAGCAAGUGUAGGUUUAUAAGUUGUUCUGAUUACGUCCCUGCCCUUUGUACACACCGCCCGUCGCUCCUACCGAUUGAUUGAUCCGGUGAAUUACAUAGAAUUUUGCGUUUUACAUGACGGAAGACGAAGUGUUUUAAACCUUAUCAUUUAGAGGAAGGAGAAGUCGUAACA